AGUGAACGCUGGCGGUAGGCCUAAUACAUGCAAGUCGAACGGAAGCACAGUAAGAGCUUGCUCUUAAGGGUGGCGAGUGGCGGACGGGUGAGGAAUACAUAGGAAUCUACUUUUACGUGGGGGAUAUCGUAGGGAAACUUACGCUAAUACCGCAUACGACCUACGGGAGAAAGCAGGGGAUCUUCGGACCUUGCGCGAUUGAAUGAGCCGAUGUCGGAUUAGCUAGUUGGCGGGGUAAAGGCCCACCAAGGCGACGAUCCGUAGCUGGUCUGAGAGGAUGAUCAGCCACACUGGAACUGGGACACGGUCCAGACUCCUACGGGAGGCAGCAGUGGGGAAUAUUGGACAAUUGGCGCAAGCCUGAUCCAGCCAUACCGCGUGGGUGAAGAAGGCCUUCGGGUUGGAAAACCCUUUUGAUGGGAAAGAAAAACAGCAGGUUAAUACCCCGCUGUUCUGACGGUACCCAAAGAAUAAGCACCGGCUAACUUCGUG
rnacentral:rRNA from 1 species